CGUAGGUGGCAAGCGUUGUCCGGAUUUAUUGGGUUUAAAGGGUGCGUAGGCGGCCUUAUAAGUCAGUGCUGAAAUACUCUAGCUUAACUAGAGGGGUGGCAUUGAUACUGCAGGGCUUGAGUAUAGUCGAGGUAGGCGGAAUUGACGGUGUAGCGGUGAAAUGCUUAGAUAUCGUCAAGAACACCGAUAGUGUAGACAGCUUACUAGGCUAUAACUGACGCUGAGGCACGAAAGUGUGGGGAUCAAACAGGAUUAGAUACCCUGGUAGUCCACACUGUAAACGUUGAUUACUCGCUGUUGGCGAUACACAGUCAGCGGCUUAGCGCAAGCGAUAAGUAAUCCACCUGGGGAGUACGCCGGCAACGGUG
rnacentral:rRNA from 1 species